rnacentral:rRNA from 1 species
UACGGGAGGGUGCAAGCGUUGUCCGGAAUCACUGGGCGUAAAGGGCGCGUAGGCGGCUCGGUAAGUAGGGGGUGAAAUCCUGCGGCUUAACCGCAGGGCUGCCUUCUAAACUGUCGAGCUCGAGCACGGUAGAGGCAGAUGGAAUUCCCGGUGUAGCGGUGGAAUGCGUAGAGAUCGGGAAGAACAUCAGUGGCGAAGGCGGUCUGCUGGGCCGUUGCUGACGCUGAGGCGCGACAGCGUGGGGAGCAAACAGG